rnacentral:rRNA from 1 species
GACGAACGCUGGCGGCGUGCUUAACACAUGCAAGUCGAACGGAAAGGCCCUGCUCUUGUGGGGUGCUCGUUUGCCGCACGCGUGAGUAUCACGCGAGUAACCUGUCCCCUACUUUCGGAUAACUUCAGGAAACUUGGGCUCAUACCGCAUAUGAGCUCCAGCUGCAUGGUGGGGGUUGGUAAGUUUCGGCGGUUGGGGAUGGACUCGCGGCUUAUCAGUUUGUUUGUGGGGUAGUGGCUUACCAAGGCUGUGACGGGUAGCCGACCUGAGAGGGUGACCGGCGCCAAUGGGACUAAGAGAGGGACCAGACUGGUACGGGAGGCAGCAGUGGAGAAUAUUGCGCAGCGGGCGGAAGCCUGAGGAGGAAGCGCCGCGUGCGGGAAGACGGCCUGCGGGUUGAAAACCGCUUUCGCAUGUGACGGAGCGUGAGUGACGGUAAUGGGUGAAGAAGCACCGGCUAACUACGUG